UAGGAAGGAGCUUGGAGGCCCAGAGGCUGACAUUGCAAAGGAACCUGAUGUUUCCCUGUCUUCCGGGCUAUACUGAGCCCUCUUCAAGGACCUAAAGCUGCCUGGAGCCCUGCCUCUCAAGGGGUUACAAAAACCUCAGUGACUCCCUGUGUCUCUUGACAGCUAGAUUUGCCAAGUUGGGGAAACUUUUAUUGGAAAAUCUGAAGGCAGACAGGAGCCCAAGACCCCAAGGAAGGAAGCUCAAAGCCCCAACUACCAUCCUUGGGCUCUGCAGAACAGCUCAGCAAUGUGCCCUUUGGAGAGUGGAGUGCCCCCCGUUCCUCCUUUCCCUCCCCAUACACAUUUUAAAAAUGCAGACGUGGGGAGACACUCUAGAACUCCCGAGAUCUCUUCUCUGUGGAACACCCCGGCUGCUCCGGGUUGAGGGACCUCAGGCCGCUUCACUGUUUUGCAUAGUCCUGACUCUGCCUCCCUCCCCACGCCCCUACUCCUCCAGCUAAGCGAGGAGCAGUAACUGCCGUGAGUCGGGUGGUUUAAUGUCGUUGUGUUCAGAAAUCCAGGCCCAACAACAUGAAACUACCUAAUUCACUCAGCAGUUCCAGUUCAGGUUCCGGGGGUCAAGGGCUCACUGGGGGGCAGGGCCCUGCAGCCAUUUUGUGGGCCAAACCGGCUGGCCGGCUAACUUCAUUCAUUUUCCUCCACCUCUUCCCUCACAGAACACAGUUGCCAUUCAACAACACAUCCAAAGAACUGGAGGCAGGGCUCCAGGCAAAACCAUUCUGGAGCUCGCUUGUCCUGGCCGCUCAGAUUCCAGGCACUUUUGCUGUCUUGCAGGAGCCCUGGCCGGAGGGGCCCUGGGCCCAACCCCAGACCUGGACAGGGCCUCCUGGAUGGGUUGAUAUGCCCGCGUGGUUUAUCAACCCCUGUGUGUGCAGCCGGAGGUCUCCACAGAUAAAAAGACUUCUCAACGUCAAACUGUUACCAAGUUUGCAGGCUGGGACACAGACAGGAGAGUGGAGAGAAGUGAUGGUGGGCGAGAGUGCGAGAAAGUUAUCAGGAAGACUAGGGAGCAGACGGAGGAACGGACUGGAAGGGAAGGCCGGCUGACCUGAACAGCCGCUGGGAAGUCUCGCUGCUGGAAGGUCCCGCAGAGGCGGAGCUGUCCCAGCCUGGGCCCUUGGCUUCCAGGCCCCCACUGAUGCCCGCUACCGCCACCUCUGCCUCUCCAGACACCCGCGUCCUCACAGGUGCUCCCGCACACUCCACA